GAUGAACGCUGGCGGCGUGCCUAAUACAUGCAAGUCGAGCGAACAGACGAGGAGCUUGCUCCUCUGACGUUAGCGGCGGACGGGUGAGUAACACGUGGAUAACCUACCUAUAAGACUGGGAUAACUUCGGGAAACCGGAGCUAAUACCGGAUAAUAUAUUGAACCGCAUGGUUCAAUAGUGAAAGACGGUUUUGCUGUCACUUAUAGAUGGAUCCGCGCCGCAUUAGCUAGUUGGUAAGGUAACGGCUUACCAAGGCAACGAUGCGUAGCCGACCUGAGAGGGUGAUCGGCCACACUGGAACUGAGACACGGUCCAGACUCCGACGGGAGGCAGCAGUAGGGAAUCUUCCGCAAUGGGCGAAAGCCUGACGGAGCAACGCCGCGUGAGUGAUGAAGGUCUUCGGAUCGUAAAACGCUGUUAUUAGGGAAGAACAAAUGUGUAAGUAACGAUGCACGUCUUGACGGUACCUAAGCAGAAAGCCACGGCUAACUACGU
rnacentral:rRNA from 1 species